rnacentral:rRNA from 1 species
AAUGAACGCUGGCGGCGUGUUUAAGGCAUGCAAGUCGCACGGGGCAAGAUUGUAGUAAUACCGUCUUGUUCAGUGGCGCACGGGUGCGUAACACGUGAGUUACAUGCCCUAUAGAGGGGGAUAGCCCAGGGAAACUUGGAUUAAUACCCCAUAGUCUCGCAAGAGUAAAGGUGGCCAGCAAUGGCUGUCGCCAUAGGAUUGGCUCGCGGCCUAUCAGCUAGUUGGUGAGGUAACGGCUCACCAAGGCUACGAUGGGUACCUGGUCUGAGAGGACGAUCAGGCACACUGGAACUGAGACACGGGUCCAGACACCUACGGGUGGCAGCAGUCGAGAAUCAUUCGCAAUGGGGGCAACCCUGAU